rnacentral:lncRNA from 1 species
AACGCCCCUGAAUGCUUAUGCCGGUGGUUGGUAGAGGAAAUGGAAUUCCCCAGACUGGUAAGAGCGCGCGCAGACACAGCCUUGUCUCACGCGCCCAAUCAGGAGCGUGUGGUGGGAGGUGCCAAGGAUUAAUUACCAGAUACCUUUAGUCUAGCUCGGGCCGGGAUUUUGAGGUUUCCGGUGGAGCAGGUGAGCAGUAUUUACUCGCCUGCCCUCCUGGGCUGGUUAUGCUGUGGGAGGAGGCGCCCCUCGAGAUGGGAAUAGUAGUUUUAAAUAGACCCAGGUUGGCCGCUCAUCAGCGCUCCCACGUGCUGAAGUCUAGUGCACGUCUGACCCUAAGGGAGCAAUACUGAGAACAGCAGGGAGCAGGCUGAGUCAAGCUCAAUUGAGUGGAUGGGGCUAGGACAGAGAGAGUUAGGGGCAGGGUUUUCACUGGUCUCCGUAAUCAGUCGCUGCCGUCCGCCAAGGUGUAGAUGUGGGAACAAGCUUAAAUUCUCAAACUUUAGCUUCUGUUGCUGUGUUUCAGUUCUUGAGCCAGAAAGUGUUGAGACUAAUUAGUUAAUUAGGUAGAGUUUAGAGUCAGAAAAACAAUACAAUACUUCCUGAAAUAUCCAAGUUGGGAGGUGGGAUUUACCUCAGUAGGAUUGGCCUGUUUUAGUCAAGGGUUUAAAGUAUGGAGACGGCAGUUAUGCUCUCUAGUGUAUCCUUCAGGCAAAAGAAAGACCUUAAUUUUUAUGAGGAAUUUAAAAGUGGGUAAGCACUGACCAGCUUAAGGUUUUUUAACAUUCCUUAAUGACCCCAGUUACCGAAGUGGAGAUCUUCAAUUACUUGGAAAAAUAAACUUGUUUUAAAAAUACACUUAAUUUGAAAACUGUUGCAGAAAGUUUUACCUAAUAAAAACUUAACACGUCAACAAUGAUGAAUAUAAGUAGUCUAAUGUAUACUGUUCAAGUGACCAUGUAGUGUCACUAGUGAAGCAGUGCUUCUCAAACUAGUGUCCAUAGGAACCACCUGGGGUUUUGUUGAAAAUGCGACUUUGAUUUGGUAGGGCAGUGGUGGAGCCUGAGAGCCUACAUUUCUAACUAGCUCCCAGGUGAUACAGAUUUUUCUCGUCUGAACCACCCCGUGAGUAGCAAAGCACUGAAGUGCUUACCUCAUGGCCUAACUGCUCAUGAGGCUCACCUCAGUAACACCUCUGGCCCCUCCCUCCUCCCUGAAUAAUCUGUGUUCUCUCUCAUAGCUAGCCAGAUAUACUAAAAGCACAGGACUAGGCAUGAAGAUGGAGGGAGGAACCCAGAUUAGUUAUUGCUUCCCAUUUGCUUGAUAUUGGCCUGGUUAGUUAUCUUCUAACCCCGUUUCUUCACCGCUAAAGUAAGUAAUAAUGACUGUCCUUUCUCACAGGGUGAUUGUGUGGUUAAAGUGUCAUAAUAUAUGUGAAAGGACACUGGAGACUCUACAGUGCUGUAUAAAUGUCAGUUAUUAAAGUAACCAGUCAGACAUUAACUGGCCAUAGUG